GGAGCAGCAAAAAUGUUUAGAAAAAAGGAGACCAGGUGGGAGAAUGCAGCAAAUCAGAAAUAUAAUGUUUGCUUCAUAUAGCUGCCAUUCACAUAAUUAAUACUUGAGGAAUUUUCUAAGGUGAUAAAACCAAAGAAAAGCAUGUGGAAAAACAAAUUGGUUACCGAAUAAGCUUUCUAGUUCUUCUUUGUCAGUGAAAUCUCAUUUAGUGUAUAUUGUUAAUAUUUUCAGUCCUCAGUUCUCAGACAAGGCUUAGGGUGCUACAAGUCUUAAGAGGUGAUACUGAGGGAAGUGUGAGGCCCCCUCUGAAACCCUUCUCAUG
rnacentral:lncRNA from 1 species